rnacentral:rRNA from 1 species
AGUCACUGACAUUAGAUACCCGGGUAGUCCCAGCCGUAAACAAUGUGCGUUAGUAUGUCGGUAACCACGUGUUACUGAUGUGCCGAAGAGAAAUCGUGAAAAACGGCACCACCUGGGAAGUACGGUCGCAAGGCUGAAACUUAAAGGAAUUGGCGGGGAGCACCACAACAGGUGGAGCCUGCGGUUUAAUCGGAUUCAACGCCGGACAUCUCGCCGGAUAAGACAGCUGAAUGAUUGUCAAUCUGAAGGUUUUACAUGACUAGCUG